rnacentral:rRNA from 1 species
UACAGAGGGGGCAAGCGUUGUUCGGAAUUACUGGGCGUAAAGGGCGCGUAGGCGGCCGCCUAAGUCAGACGUGAAAUCCCUCGGCUCAACCGGGGAACUGCGUCUGGUACUGGGUGGCUUGAAUCCGGGAGAGGGAUGCGGAAUUCCAGGUGUAGCGGUGAAAUGCGUAGAUAUCUGGAGGAACACCGGUGGCGAAGGCGGCAUCCUGGACCGGCAUUGACGCUGAGGCGCGAAAGCCAGGGGAGCAAAGCGGG